AGAAGGUGCAAGCGUUACUCGGAAUUACUGGGCGUAAAGCGUCCGCAGGUGUCUUCUCACGUCUGGUGUCAAAAUGCGGGGCUCAACCCAGCAUCGUACCGGAAAACGAAGAAGAUCGAGUCAUUCAGAGGCAUCUGGAAUAUCGUGUGUAGGGGUAAAAUCCGUUGAUCCACGAUAGAACGCCAAAAGCGAAGGCAGGAUGCUAGGGAUGUACUGACACUCAGGGACGAAAGCGUGGGGAGCAAACCGGAUUAGAUACCCGGGUAGUCCACGCCCUAAACGAUGCGUGCUCGGUGUUGGGACUUCAAUCUGUCCCAGUGCCUUASUUACGCGGUAAGCACGCCGCCUGGGAAGUACGGCG
rnacentral:rRNA from 1 species